rnacentral:rRNA from 1 species
GACAUCUUUCAUGCCAUCCUAAACACACCUGAUCCCAUUUGAUUUUAGAAGCUAAAUAGGGUUGGGUCUGACAGCUACAUGAAAGGGGUAUAUCUGGGAAAUUCCAGGGAUCUCC